UCUAACAUAACAAUUAUACACUAUGUCUCUCAGUAGAGCAGUAUUACAUCGAAAAGUCUUGUUGAAUACUCUUGCAUUCCUUUCCAACCAGAUGUUCUAGGGGUGCCUCUAACAUUACAAUUGUACACUAUGUCUCUCAGUAGAGCAGUAUUACAUCGAAAGGUCUUGUUGAAUACUCUUGCAUUCCUUUCCAGCCAGAUAGCAUAUGCAACUUCAGCUGUGACCAUUUUAAAAAUGGCUGCACGACAUGUUCGUCCCUUGGCUUUGGUAAUCAACCAUUGUACUUUCUGGUUCCAACUAAUACUAGGUAGGUAUUGUUCCUGCAGCCAAUUCAUUACUCUUCCCCAUAGAUCCACAGCGACAGGGCAGUUCGUGAGCAGAUGAUCUCUUGUUUCAGGUUGGAUUUGGUAUAGAGUGCAUUGUUG
rnacentral:lncRNA from 1 species